rnacentral:rRNA from 1 species
UUGCUUUACCACAUGCAAGUCGACCGAGCCCUUCGGGUCUAGUGGCGCACGGGUGCGUAACGCGUGGGAAUCUGCCCUUUGCUACGGAAUAACUCAGAGAAAUUUGUGCUAAUCCCGUAUAAUGUCGUCCGGCCAAAGAUUUAUCGGCAAAGGAUGAGCCCGCGUAAGAUUAGCUUGUUGGUGGGGUAAAGGCCUCCCCCGGCGCCGUCUUUGCUGGUAUGAGAGGAUGUCAGCCCCCCUGGGACUGAGACACGGCCCAGACUCCUACGGGAGGCAGCAGUGGGGAAUAUUGGACAAUGGGCGAAAGCCUGAUCCAGCAAUGCCGCGUGAGUGAUGAAGGCCUUAGGGUUGUAAAGCUCUUUUACCAGGGAUGAUAAUGACAGU